rnacentral:ncRNA from 2 species
AUGACCCGUACGGGGAGCCUGGUGUUGCCAGGCUGAGAGGAGAACCGCAAGUUCUCGACCCGCGAACCUGAUCCGGAUAAUGCCGGCGGAGGGAUAGCUGCAAAACAUCAAC